UUCGGCGAGAGUUAUUACGACGCAAUUAACCGAAUUUAUUUCAAUCUUACCUAUCGAUUGAAGGAAAAAAAUGGUUCUUUCCAGUUAUAAAGACUAAAUUUUUUAAAGAAUUCGCUUAAAGUUUGUUUCUUGGCAAACAUAACGCAAAUAUCAUUUUCCCAAAAAUAGAGACUAUAUCUCGAUGCUGGUAGUAAUCCGGGGCCAAUUCUUCAUCCGAGUAUAACUAUGAAAAAUUAGGGAAGGGAAGAGGUGCCUGUCACAAAUAAUGGGGAAUAAUAAAUGGUGGGAAUCUAUAGACUGCCGAUCGUAAUGCUAAAAUCAAAUUUGAAGUGGCAAAAAUUGAAGUGACUGGUGGCCAUUUUGUGUUUGUAUCUUUUACGAAAGAAGCAUAUGAUAAUUUCAUAAAUUUCAGAUUUCCUAUGAAAGAUAAAAUAUUAUUAUAAAAGUGGACCCAUGCUGUGAAGAGAGAGAACUUCAAUGUAACAAAAUAUAGUAAAUUAUGUUCAAAGCAUUUUACACCAGAUUCAUUUAUUCCAUCUGUUACAAAUCAUGUUCAAUUAAGAGAGGGAGCAAUACCAUCAAUUUUUAAUUUUCCAAAGCAUCUUCUAAAAGUAACAAAAUAAUGAAUAAUAAGUUAUAACAUGCAGGUUUCCUAGAAGCCAGAUUAAUUCAAAAAUACAUGAAUAUUUUUUUUUUAGAAAUCAAUUCUAGAUUUCUUUUGUAUUUUUAUAAUUUAUGUCUUUUAUGUUUUAUUUUUGCUUAUAAUUAUGUUAUUCCUUAAUAAAUAUAAACUAUCCAUUUCUAAAUAUAUUUCUUUAUUUAAAUUUA